rnacentral:rRNA from 1 species
GCUCAGGACGAACGCUGGCGGCGUGCUUAACACAUGCAAGUCGAACGGGGUGUUUAUUUCGGUAAACACCAAGUGGCGAACGGGUGAGUAACGCGUAAGCAAUCUACCUUCAAGAUGGGGACAACACUUCGAAAGGGGUGCUAAUACCGAAUGAAUGUAAGAGUAUCGCAUGAGACACUUACUAAAGGAGGCCUCUGAAAAUGCUUCCGCUUGAAGAUGAGCUUGCGUCUGAUUAGCUAGUUGGUGAGGGUAAAGGCCCACCAAGGCGACGAUCAGUAGCCGGUCUGAGAGGAUGAACGGCCACAUUGGGACUGAGACACGGCCCAGACUCCUACGGGAGGCAGCAGUGGGGAAUCUUCCGCAAUGGGCGAAAGCCUGACGGAGCAACGCCGCGUGAACGAUGAAGGUCUUAGGAUCGUAAAGUUCUGUUGUUAGGGACGAAGGAUAAGGAUUAUAAUACAGUCUUUGUUUGACGGUACCUAACGAGGAAGCCACGGCUAACUACGUGCCAGCAGCCGCGGUAAUACGUAGGCGGCAAGCGUUGUCCGGAAUUAUUGGGCGUAAAGGGAGCGCAGGCGGGAAACUAAGCGGAUCUUAAAAGUGCGGGGCUCAACCCCGUGAUGGGGUCCGAACUGGUUUUCUUGAGUGCAGGAGAGGAAAGCGGAAUUCCCAGUGUAGCGGUGAAAUGCGUAGAUAUUGGGAAGAACACCAGUGGCGAAGGCGGCUUUCUGGACUGUAACUGACGCUGAGGCUCGAAAGCUAGGGUAGCGAACGGGAUUAGAUACCCCGGUAGUCCUAGCCGUAAACGAUGGAUACUAGGUGUGGGAGGUAUCGACUCCUUCCGUGCCGGAGUUAACGCAAUAAGUAUCCCGCCUGGGGAGU